UUCCAGCUCCAAUAGCGUAUAUUAAAAUUGUUGCAGUUAAAACGCUCGUAGUUGAAUUUCAAAGAAUCGAUAUUUUAGAGUAACUAUUUUAGGGGAACUCUUUUUUGGCUUCACGCCUUUAAAUUGCUUUCUCCUAUUAUUAUGUUCUUUAAAUAAAAAGGAUUCUUUUUAAAAUCCCCACUUUGCUUUUGCUUUUUGGGGAUUUUGUUACUUUGAGUAAAUUAGAGUGUUCAAAGCAAACAGUUAAAGCAUUUUACUGUGUUUGAAUACUACAGCAUGGGAUAACAAAAUUGAACAAGCUAAAAUUUUUUGUUCUUUUUUCUUAUUUUGGCUUAGUUACGAUUAAUAGGAGUAGCUUGGGGACAUUCGUAUUCAGAUGUC
rnacentral:rRNA from 1 species